rnacentral:lncRNA from 1 species
GGGGUAUUGGCAGCUGGGGGUAUUGAUGAGUGGGAGGGGCAUUGGUGGGAGGGUAGGCUUCAAGAGUAAAGAGUUUCCCCUGCUUCCGAUCUAACCCCUAUGCUUCCUGCUUUAACCGCUAUGGAAUGGGCUGUUAGGAAGCCACCUUGGAACAAGAUCGCCGAGGCAAAGAGUUUGAGGAAUGUAUCUCAUCUCUCAUCCCUUCUUCUCUGCCUGCUUCCUGGCUGCCAAGAGUCAUAUUUCACCUCAGACUAUGAGGAGGAAACAACGAAGUCAUAGAGUCCGUCUGCCUUUCCUGAUUCCCCAGCUAUCAGCGGCACAAUUUUCACAUGAGGCUUUCUGAGCCCCUGAAAACCGCGCUGCUUCACGCCCGUCUCUUUGUGGAUUCCAUCUGGAGAGCCAACAUGAUCACUGCCUCUUCGUGGAGUGUCAGCCUCACAGUGUUUUACUGAUACAGAGAAACUCCUGUGAAUGGAAUAAAAGCCUCGAAAUCCAGAAUACUCACUCCCCAUGUGAGGCCACAGCACCAGAUCAUAGCAGCGACAGUGGUGGGCCGAGAGGGCGUGGUUACCGGGAAGGUCUGUUGAGUGUCUUAAAUACUCUUCCCUUAGAUGUCUUCAUACAUUUUAAGGGAGUGAGCUAGCAGCAGUUAUAUUUUUUAUUAUUUUUUUUGAGAUUAUAAUCACAUCAUUUCCCCCUUCCCUUUCCACCCUCUGAGCCUUCCCAUAUACCCCUCUUUGCUCACUUUCAAGAAAAUGGUCCCCCUUCCUCUAUUAACUGUCAUUUCAUGCAAAUAUGUUUAUGCAUAUAUAUUACUAAACAUACAAAUACAACCUGUUCUGUCUGCAUAAUGUUACAUGUAUAUAUGCUUUUCAGGGCUGACCACACGGUAUUGGAUAGCCAGCAGGCGUGCUCUUCCUUCUCUCGGCAACGUAGAGUAGCCUGUAGUUCUUCAUGUAGGGUUGGAUCUUCUUGGGCCACCCCACCCGACCACCC